AUUUGGCUUGCUGAUUUAUCACUAUAAAUAAGAGUACUCGAAGAAACACAUAAUCAUCUCCAACAUGAAGAAGGCCUUUCUCCUGAUUUGCAUUCUUUUGGCUACCAUUUCCCUUUCCCCUUCUCUCACUUCAGCUAGGGAAUUAGCUGCUAUUGGGAAAGAUGCAGGAAUACCAAUAAGGUGGAAGUGGCCAGGUAAGCCAUUUGGAUGCCUUGUGAAGAAAAAUUGUCUGCCUCCAAUCCCUCCCAUAAAAAGAUUCCCUCCCAGAAGAAGAAUCUAUGCCCCACCUCCCCCCCGUUGAGUUCCUUACAGAAAUAAGGGUUGUGAUUCUCAUAUUACGAACCCUUGAAAAUAUAUAUAUAUAUAGACGAAGUCAUCUUCAUUUUAUACAUAAUAAUAAAUAAAUAAAAACAAAUGUUAUGGCCAAUCAAAUAUGGUUUGGUUCACUUAUAUGAGGAGUGAGAAGUUUUAAGUUCGAGUCAUUUUGGCUACAAGUGUUUUUAUUAUUUUAAUGAGUCAAGGGGAGGGUUACCCCUAUUGUGUAGCCCACAGUGUUAUUUUAGUCUAUUGUCAACUAUACGUCAAGACUUAUAUAUGUAUGCAGAUGUUAUCUUAGAACA